CAUAUCCUUUAUUGGAAACAACCAUGUGUUUGCAGUUUGCAGAUCAGGCAUUAAGUUUCCCAAAGGGAAUAUUAAAGAACCUCUGCGUCCGAGUUGGUACCUUGUAUGCCCCAGCAGACUCCGUGGUGAUAGAGACCGGUAAUGAUGAGAGGGCACCCAUCAUCUUAGGGAGGCCAUUCCUGAACACCUCGGGAGUUGUCAUCUACGCUAGUGCUACCAAGGUCAGUUUCUACAUCAAAGGGAGGAAGGAGACAUUUUCCUUCAAGAACAAGACUACACAGAUCCCAGAGCAAUCCAGACAUGAACGAAGGAAGAGGACCAACAGGAGGAAAAGGAACAAGCAAGUGUGGACUGAGUCAGCUAAGAUGGUCACUGCAGUUCAUGGAGGUCAAGAUCAUCGACUUAAGUCACCGUUUGUAACCAAGAAGGACGACCCAGGUAUGCCAAGCAUCCAUUGCUCAAUCAAUGGAUACAACUUCUACAAGACAUUUUGCGACACCGGAUCAGGCGUCAACAUAAUGGCCGCAGUCACCUAUCGGCUCUUGUUCGGAACCAUGCCCCUAAAACCAACAUACAUUCAGCUCCAGAUGGUUGAUCAGACAUUCCAAAAGGUUGAAGGUAUAGCAACUGAUGUCCCUAUCAAAAUAGACGAUCAUUUUGUCCAUACAGACUUUCAGGUUAUUGACAUGGGAGAAGAUGAGUACGAUCCACCCAUCAUCCUUGGAAGACCGUUCCUCAGCACCGUUAAAGCAAUCAUCUACAUUGACACCAGAGAAGUCCACAUGCACUUCCCCUCUGAGAAGGUGCGCCACUAUUUUGCUGACCCUAAUUAUAUAGUUGAAGACUCUAAACAGGUCAGGACAAGAAGAAGACAACGCAACCGUAACCAGAGAAGGCAAAUCAUCAAGGAUGGAUGGGCAGACUACGAAGGAGAAGUGGUAAGGUCUAAAGACAUACAGCUUGAACAGAAUUAUCCUGAGGAGACCGUAGCACCGAGUCAAGUGUGGAAAGAGAAGACAACUAUACACGAAGAGGAGGCGCCGCCGGAAGCACCGACUACGCCAUCCAACGAAUCCCAGGACAAGUGAGAAAACGGAGAGUCCCGUUCAAAGGACUUAAAAACACCGAACGCCUUGCCAAGAGGUAAACUUGGUAGUUAUCCUUUUCCUUUCAAUUAUUUAAAAUAUUUUACUUAGUUAAUCAUGUUCAUACUACCCUAAAAAGAAAAUAAAAAUAUUAAAAAUAGUAAGCCCCAUGUGAGUAUACAAGUGAUAUAAAACCCACAAGUACAUUCACUGUGGUGGCAUAAAAAUAAAAUAAAUAAUUUUUUUUGCACUAUAAAAUGAAAAUAUAAAAAUAGAGAGUAAUAUUUAUUGAGGAGGCUCAACAUGAUAAAGGCUAGAUAUUUAUGCUAACACCUAAUCAGUUUCACAAAGCUUUGUUGUCUAUUUGAGCUCCAGAGAAUUUAAGGAUCAAGAAGAUUAGCAGACGGAUGACACUCUAAUCACUGUCAGGGUACUGCCGACUUUCAAAUACACAUCAGCCACCUGCUAGCUACAUCAGAAGAAAUUACGUCAAAAUCCAGCUUGAGGGAGAGCGCCCCCAUUUAUCCCGCUAAGUAUUUCUAUCUACAUAUAUACUUAUACUAUAUUAAAAUAUAAAUAUACAUAACCAUGAAAAACCAAAUAAAGAUUUUGUGCUUAUAUAUAUAUCUCUUUUGCUUAGCGUGCUUAAUAAAUAAAUAAAGUGGCUAUGCUAAACUGAAUCUUAAUAAUAAAACUCUAGCAUGGAUAUGAUGAAUAGUUGCUCUGCCUAAUUUUCAAAUUUGAAGUUCUCUCUAGUUUAGACAUAACUGUUAUAAUUUAAAGCUUUCUCUAAAUCUGAACUUGUGGGAAGAAAACUUGAUCUAAAGUCUAAGUUAUUAACGGAUAUGAUAUGAGAAGGCUGAGCUGUUGUUUAUGUGUUCCUAGAGAUGCUAUAAUUCUGGAGAAUUUUAUCUUUGAAAAACUUUAAAAUAACACAUGAUGAGUUCCUGUAUGAUGAGAGUUUAAAUUCCUACCACAGCCAUAUAUACAUGCUUGCUAGACUUUGAGCCACACAUUUACUUUUUACUGCUUAUGAGCAUUGAGUGUGGUCAAGCUGUGUAGACCCUUAGGAGCUUGUCAUGUGGUUAAAUCAAGAUUCACUUGCACGUUCACUCACACAUGCUGCUUCUACUCUGGAAGUACGCAUCCACAUAUAUCCACCCAUUUCCAUCUCCAGAACCACCUAAAAAUAUUCUACUCCUAAUCUGGGAGAGAAUAGCCAAAAACAUUUCUGUUUUUCCCCUGUGAAAUAAAUGCUCAAGUUAUCUUGGUUACUACCACUUGCUAUAUUAUUUCAGGAGAUGAGUGCUCUGAAAAAAAGAAAGAGAAGAAAAUAUGAGGAAAUAAAAAGGGGCAAGUGCCCGAAACCACGAAAGAAAAGAAAAAGUGAGACGAGAGGUAAAAAUGGACAAGUGUCCAACAGUAGAAUUAGGGGUGCAAUACCCACCUGAGAGGAAAGAAAAAGAAAAUAAGAGCAUCUCAUUCUCCUCAAAAAGUUUCAAAAGAGCAAGAAAGGUACGUAUCCCCUCAAAAGAGCAAAAGUAGAAUUAGACUUUCACCAUUGUUAUCACCAUCAUCACCAUACACCAUUCAUUCACCACACAUGCACAUCUUGAUUUGACUUAUUGACUUGUUUCUCUGGAUCCAUGGUUUGACUAUGCAAUAAAUGUCUUGUAAGUAUGUAUACUUUAUCUCCCACCUAUGAGCUUCAUAUAUUAAAGCCUUAUUAGAGUAGGAUGAGAGAGAAGGCAAUGUCACUAUGCCUCAUACCACAAAUACUACAUAUUUUGAGAGAAGGCAUAUACCAUCACUGCCUUGGUAAGGAUCCAGAAAUACCACAAAAGAGAGAUCUGAGAGAGUCAUAUAAGGAAUCUCUGAGUUUUAUUUCAAAAUCUACAAAAACUCCAGAGCUAUAGCUGAUCAAGAAUAAGAGACAUGGCACUUGAUUAGACCGUUCUAUCUUUUAACUACUCAAGACAGCAGUGACGGUUACAAGUCCCAUGGUGAAAGGUAAAAUGAAUAAGUUUUAUUUCUUGACAGUUUACUCUAACUCAGAGAUGAUACCUUAUUUGAAAGCAUGUGUACCGUCAAUUUUUAAAGGCAUUACAGCAACUUCUGAUCCAUCACCGAGGUUAUCCUUGCUCAGGGGCGAGCAAGAGGUAAGCUUGGGAGAGUUGUUGACGGUCCUUAAGUAUCAAAUUUAAUUAUCAAAUAAACAAAGAAAAGGAUCAAAAUGCAACCGACAUCCAGACUUAGGGUUUUAUCUGACAGAAUUCCACGAGUUUUGGUGUUUUUCUAUUUCUGCAGGGGGUUAUCAGGAAUUAUGAAAGAAAGGCCCACACGUCGGGUUUACAUAGAGAUAUUAACAUGCCGCGCAAUUAUCUAACAUCUAGAAGAGUCCAGAAGCCACGGGAACGAAUGAGAGACCGGACGGGCCCGGGUGUUGACGGUCCUUAAGUAUCAAAUUUAAUUAUCAAAUAAAUAAAGAAAAGGAUCCAAAUGAAAUAAAGAUCUAGACUUAGGGUUUUAUCUGACAGAAUUCCACGAGUUUUGGUGUUUGUCUAUUUCUGUAGGGGGUUAUCAGGAAAUAUGGAAGAAAGGCCCACAUGUCAGGAUUACGUAAAGAUAUUAACGUGCUGCGUAAUUAUCUUACAUCUAGAAGACUCCAGAAGCCACGAGACCGAAGCGGAGGCGAAUCGGGGCCAGAGACAGGGCGCCCGCCCUGCCCCUAAGUCCAAUCAGGACUCUGCUUUGCGGGAAGUCUCCACCGACCUAAAGGAUGAAUCUAAACCAUACAAUCUAUGUCGGUUUGAUCCAAGGGCCCAUAUUCACUUGAAGGGACUAUAAAACCAGACCCCCUGGCCCCUGGAGGAGGGAGCCUCUCAACCCUAAUUCAUUGUUCCAUCAAGGGAGAAGAAGCCUCUGAUCAAGAUUAGAGCCACCACAUCAAUUAGAUAUCUAGAUUAGCAUAGCUACAUAGGAUUAGAACUAGAAGGAGUCAAUCUUCGAUUGGUUUCCAGAUCUGUGAGGACGAUUCUUGGUAAUUCUCUAAUUGUGCUUCUAAUUGCUUUCUAAUUAUCUUUGUUCUUCAAUAUUAUGAAUAUGACUUUGUUCUACUUCAAUAUAUUGCUUAUGACUUUGCUCUAUUUGCUUAUAUUCAAGAUUAUAUUGUUCUUAGUUUAUCAUAGUUAUGUACUUGGCUUAGUUAGAUACGAUCUAUAUACAUGCUUAGGAUUGUAUAGCGUUUAUCCAUCGGAUCCAUGGGUAAAUGAUAGAUAUUGUGUAGGCGUGGUGCUUAUACCGUAUUUAUCUGCGAUUGUACCCAAUAUGCCAGAUCGUGGGGUAGUUCGUGAUAGUGACAGCUUCAUUGAUUCUUAUAUAGUCCCCCUCUCGUGUAUUGGGCUGGCAGAGCAACACUAUUACAGGGGAGUGAUUGCUAUGUUUCUCAUAUUCCUUGCUAAUAUCACUAUGCAUGGGCGUAGUCUUGUCUCGCAAUGAUUGCUAAGUAUGCUUGCACUAACUAUGAUAUGCUAGACUAUAUAGUUAAGAAUAACUUAGGGAAUAUUCUUGUAGUUCGUUCUAAUACCAUGCUAAUGACUUUCUAGAGUAUCUAAUUGAGGUGCUUAUCAUAUUUAUUAUGUGGCUAGAUCAGAUUAGUUAUCCUUGUCACUAUUAUCAUUUCAUAUAUCUAUUAUGUGACACUUAUCCCUGUAUGAAGAGUUAGAUAUAAUGUUCUCAAUUAUACAUGAAAUGAUAGAUGCUCAAUCUCAUAUUCUAUUCUGUAAUCAAUAGUGAUGAUUGAUUAAUCCCUUCCCAGUGGUAAAAAUAUAAAUAACGAUACCUGGAAUACUUCCCGGUUAAAAUGCUACAUCGGUAUUAAUCUGUGCGCUUGCAGAUCCCAUUCAUUAUUUAUUUAGAAGAGCAAUUGCAUAUUUCAAUACCGCGUCUCUCAUGUCAUGUUGGGGAUGACAACUUGGCUUAAGUGGUGUGAGGGAUAGGUUUGGCAUUUUUGGCACCGUUGCUAGAUUUAGAACUUAGUCUACUUUUGGUAAUGAUGUUAAGAAUACCCAACAAGCAAUUUUUGGCGCCGUUGCCGGGGAAGGUUGAUUACCAAUCAGGAAUGGAAUAAAAGAUUUUGAUUUAUCAUUCGCAUCACUAAUAUGAUUGAGCUUAUCUAUUCUCUCAUACAGUUUUACCCCGAUAUUUUUCUAUUUUAUCUUAUGCAGGGGAAUGUAUGAAUAGAAGACAUCUUCCAGGAAAUUUUGUUGACAAUCCUGAAGCAUUAUUCAAGAAGACGAGGGCCAAGCUAAAGAAAUCAUCAACACUUCACGAAGAAGCUUCAUCCAAUCAAGAAGAUCACCGGAACUUGUCUUCAGAGUUCGAAGCCAUGGCGAACAAAUCGAUCCGCGAGUUCUCAGCUCCCACUACGGACAACAUCCGCACUGGACCUGCUGCAGAGAUCGAUGGCAACUUUGAGCUCAAGCCUGGACUUAUCAACAUGGUGCAAUCCAACCAGUUCUGUGGGAAGGCACACGAAGAUACUAGUGCUCAUUUACAACACUUCCUAGAGAUUUGCAACACAUUCACAAUAGCUGGUGUUUCCAAAGGCGCUAUACUACUUCGCCUCUUCCCAUUCUCACUGUUAGGAAGAGCGAAGCAGUGGUUCUACGCUACAAAGGAGAAGAAUACUACGUGGGCACUCUGCUCAACAAACUUCCUGGCCAAGUUCUUUCCCAUGGGCAAGACCAAUGCUCUCCGUGGGAAGAUUACAAGUUUUCAGCAACAAAAUGAUGAAUCUGUUCCAGAAGCAUGGGAGCGCUUUCAAGACUACAUCCUAGAAUGUCCCCAUCAUGGAAUGGAGAGUUGGCUAUUGAUGCAGACAUUCUAUCAUGGGCUCAGCAACAGUGCCCGAGAGACCAUGGAUGCUGCAGCUGGAGGAGCAUUCUUAUCACUUACUAUACCACAAGCCACAGCUCUUGUGGAGAAGAUGGCGUCCAAUCAAAGCUGGAAUGAAGAGAGGACCCAGACAUGCAAGAGAGGUGGAGGUAUGCAUCAGCUGAAGGAGGUAGACAUGCUGUCUGCAAAGCUAGACCUGCUCAUGAAGAAGCUCGAUGAUAAAGCUGGAGACAAGAAAGAAGUUAUGCACAUCUACGACUCUCACAUGACUUGUGAGGAGUGUGGAGACACUGGACACUCAGGCAACCACUGCCCUGAGAUGCUUGAGGAUGUGAACUACAUCAACAACAACAACAACUACAACCGUCCUCAACAAAAUCAAGGUUGGAAUCAACAGAGGCCUAACUACUCACGUAAUUAUCAAGGUAACAAUUCUUACAACAAUAAUAAUAAUUUUCCACCUUUGAGAGAGUUAGUGUCUAAUCAAGGAAAGCUAAUGGAUAACCUAUCUAAGAAAUUGGCAUCUAAUGAUAAAAUGCUAGAAAAUAUAAAUAAUAGAACGGAUAAUUUUUCUACUGCCAUCAAGAAUCAAAUUAGCUUUAAUAAAAUGAUUGAAUCUCAGUUAAAUCAGAUAGCUGCUGCUGCUCCUACUACUAACCCCGGUAUACCAUCACAACCGGAAGGAUUAGAAUCUGCAAAUCUUGUAGACGUGUUUGAUGCAGGUAAUUGGAGUAACCCCGUCAAUGAAUUUUCUACUGACCGUCUGCCGGUCAAGAGAGGCGAUCCAGGACGCCCCGUCAUCCCGAUCUCCAUCGGCAUGGUGGACUUCCCAGAAGCACUCUGCGACUUUGGCUCCAGUGUCAACAUUAUACCCAGGGUACUCUAUGAGAAAUUCUUUACAUAUCCUUUAUUAGAGACAACCAUGUGUUUGCAGUUUGCAGAUCAGACGAUAACUUUUCCAAAAGGAAUAGUGAGGAACCUUUGUGUCCAAGUUGGUACCUUGUAUGCACCAGUAGACUUCGUAGUGGUAGAGACCGGAAAUGAUGAGAGAGCACCUAUCACCCUAGGGAGGCCAUUUUUGAACACCACGGGAGCUAUCAUCUACGCCAGUGCUGCUAAGAUCAGUUUCUACGUUAAAGGGAAGAAGGAAACAUUUUUCUUCAAAAACAAGACUACACAAAUUCCAAAUCAAUCCAGACGUCAAUCAAGGAAAAGGACCAACAGGAGGAACAAGAACAAGCAAGUGUGGACCGAGUCAGCUCAGAUGGUCACUGUAGUCCAUGGAGGCCAAGAUCACCAACUUAAGUCACCGUGCUUGACCAAGAAGGAUGACCCAGGAAUGCCAAGCAUUUACUGCUCCAUAAAUGGAUACAACUUCUACAAGACAAUUUGUGACACCGGAUCGGGUGUCAACAUAAUGGCCGCAGUCACCUAUCGGCUCUUGUUCGGGACCAUGCCACUAAGACCAACAUACUUUCAGCUCCAGAUGGCAGAUCAGACAUUUCGAGAAGUUCAAGGAAUAGUAUCUGAUGUCCCAGUCAAAAUAGACGAUCAUUUUGUCUACACAGACUUUCAAGUUGUUGACAUGGGAGAAGACGAGUAUGAUCCAACCAUCAUCCUUGGAAGACCGUUCCUCAGCACCGUUAAAGCCAUUAUCUACAUUGGAACCGGAGAAGUCCAUAUGCACUUCCCCUCAGAGAAGGUACGCUGUUAUUUUACUGACCCUAACUAUAUCAUUGAAGAAUCUAAGCAGGUAAGAAAACGACGCAACCGCAACCAGAGGAGGCAGAUCAUUAAGGACGGAUGGGCAGACUAUGAAGGAGAAGUUGUAAGGUCAGAAGACGUAGAGUUUAAACAGAAUUAUCCAGAGGAGAUUGAAGCACCGAGUCAGGUGUGGAAAAUGAAGAUAACGAUACAAGAAGAGGAGGCGCUGCCGGAAGUACCGACUACGCCACCCAACGAACCUCAGGACGAUUAAGAAAUUGGAGAGUCCCGUUCGGAGGACUUAAAAAUACCGAACGCCUUGCCAAGAGGUAAACUUGGUAGUUACCCUUUCCCUUUCAGUUAUUUUAAAUAGUUUACUUAGUUAAACAUGCUCAUACUGUCUUAAAAAGAAAAUAAAAAUGUGAAAAAUAGUAAGCCCCAUGUGAAUAGACGAGUGGCAUAAAACCCAUACGUACAUUCACUGUGGUGGCAUAAAAAUAAAAUAAAUAUUUUUCUGCUUUAUAAAAUAAAAAUAUAAAAACAGGGAGUAAUAAUUAUUAAGGAGUCUCAAGAUGAUAUAGGCUAGAUAUUUAUGCUAACACUUAAUCAGUUCCACAAGCUUUGUUGUCUAUUUGAGCUCCACAGAAUUUAAGAAUCAAGAAGACUAGCAGACGGAGGACAUUCUAAUCGCUGUCAGAAUGCUGCUUUCAAAUACACCUCUGCCACCUGCUAGCUACAUCAAGAGAAAUUACGUCAAAAUUGAGCUUGGGGGAGAGCACCCCCAUUUAUCUCGAUAAGUAUUUCUAUCUAUCUAUCUUUAUAUUUAUAUUAUUUUAGAAUAUUAAUACACAUAAACUAUGGGAAAACCAAAUAAAGAUUUUAUGCUUAUAUAUAUUACUUAGUGUGUUUAAUUAAUAAAUAAAGUGGCUAUGCUAAUCUGUAUCUAAUAAAACUUAAGCAUGGAUAUGAUGAAUAGUUGCUCUGCCUAAUUUGCACAUUUUAAGUUCUCUCUCAAGUAUAGACAUAACUGUUAUAAUUUAAAGCUUGCCCUAGACCUAAACUUGUGGGAUGAAAACUUGAUCUGAAGUCUAAGUUGUUAACGGAUACGAUAUAGGAAGGUUGAGCUGCUGUUUAUCUGUUCCUAGAGAUGCUAGAAUUCUGGAGAAUUUAUCUUUGAAAAUCUUUAAAAUGUUGCAUGAUGAGUUCCUGUAUGAUGAGAGCUUAAAUUCCUACCACAGCCAUAUAUACAUGCUUGCUAGACUUUGAGCCACACUUUUACUAUUUACUGCUUAUGAGCAUUGAGUAUGGUCAAGCUGUGUAGACCCUUAGGAGCUUGUCAUGUGGUUAAAUCAAGAUUUCACUCGCACGUUCACUCAUAUAUGCUACUUCUACUUCGGAAGUACCAUCCACAUACAUCCACUCAUUUCCAUCUCCAGAGCCACCUAAAAAUAUUCUACUCCUAAUCCGGGAGAGAAUAACCAAAAAUAUUUCUGUUUUCCCCUUGUAAAAUAAAUGCUCAAGUUAUCUUGUUACUACCACUUGCUAUAUUAUCUCAAGAGAUGAGUGCUCUAAAAAAAAAGAAGAAGAAAAUAAUAUGAGGAAAUAAAAAGGAGCAAGUGUUCGGAACCUCGAAAGAAAAGAAAAAGUGAGACGAGAGGUAAAAAUGGACAAGUGUCCGACAGUAGAAUUAGGGGUGCAAGAUACCCACCUGAGAGAAAAGAAAAAGAAGAGCAUCUCAUUCUCCUCAUAAAGUUUCAAAAGCAAGGAAGGUAUGUAUCCCCUCAGAAGAGCAAAGUAGAAUUAGACUUUCACCACCAUUGUUUUCACCAUUGUUAUCACCAUCAUCACCAUAUACCAUUCAUUCGCCACACAUGCACAUCUUGAUUAAACUUAUUGACUUGUUACUUUGGAUCCAUGGUUUGACUAUGCAAUACAUGUCUUGUAAGUAUGUAUAUUUUAUCUCCCACCUAUGAGCUCCAGAUAUUAA
rnacentral:lncRNA from 1 species